CAGCCCCAGGAAGUGGAUAGCUGACUUGCAGUCUUUUCCUUGUCGGGAGCACGAGAGAAGGCUGACUGGUGCAGGGUGUGAUGUGUAACUGUCUGACUGGCGCAGGGAGUCCGAAUAAUAAGAAAGAUAUCUUCUCCCCACCUUUCUUUUAAAAGCUUGGCGGUCAUCCAUGGAAGUACGAAGAUUAAGUGAACAGGAUAGUGGUCACCUGCUGCCCUCUGUUGACGGAAUGUGAAUAUGUGGCUCCACUCAACACCGACUACUGUCCUUGAUGUCAUCCUGUGUGGCAUCUUCAAUAUCGGGGAUCUCCACUGCAAGUGAUGCUUCACCUGUACCAUCAGCUUCUCCUGGCCUCUCUAGGGAGAGGCAACUCUGCCACAAAAUGUCAAACUCAGCUCCCGUUGAUGACCCCUGGACACCUGUAAAGCCAGUAUAUGUUAUUAUCCUGGCCCUGUUGCAGAAGAGAAACACAAAUCUUAUUGGACACGGAGAAGUUGAGCUGGUACCUAACUAAAGUCUUCCCCCCAUGGACUACCAGCAGAGAAAGAGGGGGAUUGUGGUUAACAGAUUGCAUGACUCUCAGAAGAGACUUUGGACUUCAAAACAAGUUUGAGACUGUUACAGACUAUGUGGACUUUUGAAGUUGGACUGAAUGCAUUCUUUUUUGCAUUAUGAUAUGGCUAUAAGCUUUUGGGGGCCAGGUAAUGGAAUAUAGUGGUUUGAAAGAAAAUGGCCCCCAAAGGGAGUGGAAGCAGGCUUUGAAGUCUCUUUUGCACAAACUUCCCUCAGUGUGAUGUUCAGCUGAUUUCCUGUUGCCUGCAAGAUGUAACACUCUCAGCUACAGCACCACGUCUGCCUGCACACUGUCAUGCCCCCAUCAUUAUGAUGUAACUGUAAGUGAAGCACCCCAAUUAAAUAUUUUCUUAGUAAGA